rnacentral:lncRNA from 1 species
GGAUUGGUAACAUGAACCUGCAGACUCAAUUGAUGAUGAGGAAGUAGCUGCAAAGACUAGGAAAAAGAAACUGGAAUAGCAGAUGCCUAGCACAUAUUCGCCAAGCUUUUGCUUCUGCUGACUUGUUGGGCCUAUGGAUCAGACUUGAAAUCAAAGAGAGGCUGCACAUAUGUGCUAGAUUUUCCGCAAAUAUGCAUCCAUGGUCAACCUUAUUGUCUUGAAAUUGUUAAGUUCUUGUUUUGUGAGGAUUCUGUAGGGAGCUCUGUGAGAGGAGGCCUCUAGUAUGUCCAUGAUGUUCAGGCCAGCCUGCGUGCACCUCGACUAAUUCCACAGUGGUACUUGCUACUUUCGAACAACAUAGGUACCGGGCAACUCUGUCCACCAACUUUUGUGUGGACAACGACAGACAAAAUGGUUCUUGGCAAGACAAGAGUUUUAACUAUAGAAUUGUCUUCUUUCUCUCUUUUUUGCCUUUUAGUUUCGAGGUAUCUAGGAGUUCUAAAAUGGUCUUAAUUCCUACCGUGUGCUAAAUUCACUCUCUGGUGUGAUGAUGGAUCUUAUUGUGCAGCUUGGAUUAUUUUUUCUGUCAUUCUUGAUUCCUAUGAAUGAUGAAUGAGUUGUUUACUCAAUCCUGUAUUUCAAUUACAUUUUUGAACUGACACUUGGGAUUGAUUUGCAUUUAUGGAAAUCUGAAAUGAUUAGAUCAGUAUGAUUUGUGUAUAAGAUAUACAUUUCUUCAUGUUAUUUAUACCAAUAACUAGUGUAUUGAUAA